rnacentral:rRNA from 1 species
CUGGUCCUGUCCUGACGCUGUGGCACGAAAGCGUGGGGAGCGAACCGGAUUAGAUACCCGGGUAGUCCACGCUGUAAACGAUGUCGACUCGGUGUGUGGCUGGCGUUAAGCCGGCUGCGUGCCUUAGCUCACGCGGGAAGUCGACCGCCUGGGGACUACGAGCGCAAGCUUAAAACUCAAAGGAAUUGACGGGGGCCCGCACAAGCA